rnacentral:rRNA from 1 species
UACAGAGGGUGCGAGCGUUAAUCGGAAUGACUGGGCGUAAAGGGUCCGUAGGCGGACAUAGAGGUUAGUGAUGAAAUGGUAGGGCUCAACCUUACCCCUGAUCACUAAAACGGUAUGACUAGAGUAUGUCAGAGGCAGGAGGAAUUCCCGGAGUAGCGGUGAAAUGCGUAGAUAUCGGGAGGAACAUCAGUGGCGAAGGCGACCUGCUGGGAUAAUACUGACGCUGAGGGACGAAAGCACGGGUAGCGAACAGG